UCUGGUGUCCCCUGAGAGAAAGCAAUACAAAGCAUUAUGCAUAAAGAAAUCCUUCCAAAAAAUAAACCAAAUCCAGUCAAAUCUCUAGUUUUGACUCCUAGCUUACCGGAAAUACGUGAUGGGAAAAAAAUGAAAUGACACCUCUAUGAUUCAAUCAGCCAAAUCCAGCAUAUGAAAAUUUCUACCUGACAAAUGGUUUAGUUUCUUCCCCAAACAAAUGGCACAAGGAAACGGAAUACAUCAUAUAGUAUUAACUAAUGAAAUGCUUUGAUAUCUGGAACGUUUAAAAAAUAUUCCCGAUGGAGUAAGUGCAAAGAAACAGGUAAGCAAAAUGCUGAUAAUUGCUGAAACACAUGAUAUGUACCUGGGGCUUCAUUUACUAUCUCUUCAUUUUCUAUUUUGAUAUUUGUUGGACAUUCUCAUAAAAAGGAAAGUUAUGUUUUAUUUUCUCAUAAGCUAGUAAUGAAAUAUCCCUAAGUAACUGAUAUUGUAGAGACAAGAAUAGGUGUAAUAGAGCUUAAGGCUUUCAUUUAAAAAACUAUCUGUAGACUUCAAUGGAUCUUAGGUGGCAUCCAUGCAAUAACACUCGUGGAACAUGCAGGACAGGUGUGGAGCUCCAUCUUCACGCAGUGACAUUUUUUAUGCUUCUGUUUGCCCUAAGAGUGGAGUGAGACGAUGAUUAUUUUAUAUCAUAGACUCCUUCCCUACUAUACUUUUUAAAAUUAUUUUACUUUCACUUCUGGGAUACAUGUGCUGAGCAUGCAGGUUUGUUUACAUAGGUAUACAUCUGCCAUGGUGGUUUGCUGCACCUAUCAACCCAUCAUACAGGUUUUAAGCCCUGCAUGCAUUAGGUAUUUGCCCUAAUGCUCUCCUUCGCCUUUCCCCCCACCCCCUGAUAGCCCCCAGUAUGUGAUAUUCCCCUCCCUGUGUCCAUGUGUUCUCAUUGUUCAACUCCCAUUUAUGAGUGAGAAUAUGUGGUGUUUGGUUUUCUGUUCCUGUGUUAGUUUGCUGAGAAUGAUGUUUUCCAGCUUCAUCCAUGUCCCUGAAAAGGACAUGAACUCAUUCUUUUUAUGGCUGCAUAGUAUUCCAUGGUGUUGUAUGUGCCACAUUUUCUUAAUCCAGUCUGUCACUGAUGGACAUUUGGGUUGUUUCCAAGUCUUUGCUAUUGUGAAUAGUGCUGCAAUAAA
rnacentral:lncRNA from 1 species